UACAGAGGAGGCAAGCGUUAUCCGGAAUUAUUGGGCGUAAAGCGUCCGCAGGUGGCACUUCAAGUCUGCCGUCAAAGACCGGGGCUUAACCCCAGAAAGGCGGUGGAAACUGAAGCGCUAGAGUGCGGUAGGGGUAGAGGGAAUUCCCGGUGUAGCGGUGAAAUGCGUAGAGAUCGGGAAGAACAUCGGUGGCGAAAGCGCUCUACUGGACCGCAACUGACACUGAGGGACGAAAGCUAGGGGAGCGAAUGGG
rnacentral:rRNA from 1 species